AGCAGCCGCGGUAAUUCCAGCUCCAAUAGCGUAUAUUAAAGUUGUUGCAGUUAAAAAGCUCGUAGUUGAAUUUCAGGCCUGGCUGGACGGUCCGCCCUUCGGGUGAGUACUGUCUGUGGUCGGGUCCUACCUUCUGGCGAAGCGUCAUGGCCUUAACCGGCCGUGGCGGGGAACCAGGACUUUUACUGUGAAAAAAUUAGAGUGUUCAAAGCAGGCAAAUCGCUUGGAUACAUUAGCAUGGAAUAAUGGAAUAGGACGAUGGUUCUAUUUGUUGGUUUCUAGGACCGUUGUAAUGAUUAAUAGGGAUAGUUGGGGGCAUUAGUAUUCAAUUGUCAGAGGUGAAAUUCUUGGAUUUAUUGAAGACUAACUACUGCGAAAGCAUCUGCCAAGGAUGUUUUCAUUAAUCAAGAACGAAAGUUAGGGGGAUCGAAGACGAUCAGACACCGUCGUAGUCUUAACCAUAAACUAUGCCGACUAGGAAUCGGGCGAUGUUGACAAAAUGACGCGCUCGGCACCUCAU
rnacentral:rRNA from 1 species